rnacentral:misc_RNA from 1 species
AGCAUCUCCUUCACGCCUCUUCAUUUGUUGGCGCAAGUACGUUCUCGGCCAAAAUCGGGUUUCCUGUGCUAGAUACCUAUCUCGAAGGAAUUUGGUGGGCUAUAAUUGUUGGCUUUCCAUCGUGUGCCGCUGCUCCUUGCGGGGGAAGUGGUGUGCGGUGGACCUCAAGGCAUUUGCCGUGUUUCGCACUGUGUCCACCUAUACGGGUGUUUCCGUUGCUGAGCCACUGCGCAAUGCUCGAUAUCUCGGGUGCGGAAAAUCUAGUGGGUACGAGGCCGUUGGCCUCCGAUCACCACAACAACAAGCGUUCUACGCUUCGUGCGAGCGACGGUUGGCUCGGUCUUCGAACGGGCUCUAGCAGCCUGAUUGGAGUCGUGCUGGCGUUGG